rnacentral:misc_RNA from 1 species
UAGAGUUUUCCAAACUCCCAAACCCAUGUGAACCUACCAUUGUUGCCUCGGCGGAGCCUACCCUGUAGCUGCCCUGUAGCUGCCCCGUAGCGGUCCGCCGGUGGAAUACCAAACUCGUUUUUCUAGUGAAUCUGAGCGUCUUAUUUUAAUAAGUCA